GUUGAAGAACUGGUUCUCGUACGAUUUUUGAAGUUAAGCAACGUUGAGCUUGGUCAGUACCUAGAUGGGUGACCGUUUAGGAAUAUCAGGUGCUGUAAG